CUACGGGCGGCUGCAGUGAGGAAUUUUGCGCAAUGGGGGAAACCCUGACGCAGCAACGCCGCGUGAGUGAAGAAGGCCUUUGGGUCGUAAAGCUCUGUCAACUGGGAAGAAGUUAGAAUCUAUUAAUAGUAGGUUUUAUUGACGGUACCAGUGGAGGAAGCGCCGGCUAACUCCGUGCCAGCAGCCGCGGUAACACGGGGGGCGCAAGCGUUAUUCGGAAUUAUUGGGCGUAAAGGGCGCGCAGGCGGUCUUGUCAGUCAGGUGUGAAAGCCCGGGGCUCAACCCUGGAAGUGCACUUGAACAGCAAGACUUGAGUACGGGAGAGGAGAGAGGAAUUCCUGGUGUAGAGGUGAAAUUCGUAGAUAUCAGGAGGAACACCGAUGGCGAAGGCAUCUCUCUGGACCGAUACUGACGCUGAGGCGCGAAGGCGUGGGUAGCGAACGGGAUUAGAUACCCGCGUAGUC
rnacentral:rRNA from 1 species